UGGGGAAUAUUGCACAAUGGGCGGAAGCCUGAUGCAGCAAUGCCGCGUGCGUGAAGAGGGCCUUCGGGUUGUAAAGCACUUUUGUCCGGAAAGAAAUCCUUGGCUCUAAUACAGUCGGGGAUGACGGUACCGGAAGAAUAAGCACCGGCUAACUACGUGCCAGCAGCCGCGGUAAUACGUAGGGUGCAAGCGUUAAUCGGAAUUACUGGGCGUAAAGCGUGCGCAGGCGGUUUGCUAAGACCGAUGUGAAAUCCCCGGGCUCAACCUGGGAACUGCAUUGGUGACUGGCAGGCUAGAGUAUGGCAGAGGGGGGUAGAAUUCCACGUGUAGCAGUGAAAUGCGUAGAGAUGUGGAGGAAUACCGAUGGCGAAGGCAGCCCCCUGGGCCAAUACUGACGCUCAUGCACGAAAGCGUGGGGAGCAAAACAGGAUUAGAUACCCUGGUAGUCCACGCCCUAAACGAUGUCAACUAGUUGUUGGGGAUUCAUUUCCUUAGUAACGUAGCUAACGCGUGAAGUUGACCGCCUGGGGAGUACGGUCGCAAGAUUAAAAGCUCAAAUGAA
rnacentral:rRNA from 1 species